UACGUAGGAUCCUAGCGUUGUCCGGAUUUACUGGGUGUAAAGGGUGCGCAGGCGGACUUAUAAGUCAGAAGUGAAAUCCUGGAGCUCAACUCCAGAACUGCCUUUGAUACUGAAGAUCUUGAGUUCGGGAGAGGUGAGUGGAACUGCGAGUGUAGAGGUGAAAUUCGUAGAUAUUCGCAAGAACACCAGUGGCGAAGGCGGCACACUGGCCCGAUACUGACGCUGAGGCACGAAAGCGUGGGGAGCAAACAGG
rnacentral:rRNA from 1 species